AAAUAGAUUAAAAUAAUUAAGGGCACACAAAGGAUGCCUUGGUAGUAAGAGCCGAUGAAGGACGUGGUAAGCUGCGAUAAGCCUAGAUAAGUUGCAAUCGAACGUAAGAGUCUAGGAUUUCCGAAUGGAGCAAUCUAUUAAGAUGGAGUCUUAAUACGAAAGAGGGAACCGCGUGAACUGAAACAUCUAAGUAACGCGAGGAAAAGAAAGUAAAAACGAUACCCAAAGUAGCGGCGAGCGAAAUGGGUCAAGCCUAAACCUUAAAUAUGUCAAGGAUACAGCCGUUGUAUUUAAGGGGUUGAGGGACAGAGUGAUGAAGAACUGUAAGAUAUUCAAUAUAGUGUAUUGAUGAACUAGAAUAGUCUGGAAAGGUUAACCGUAGAAGGUGAAAGUCCUGUAUAGGUAAAUCCUUACACAUAUAACUUUGAUCCCAAGUAACAUGGAACACGAGGAAUUCUGUGUGAAUCAGUGAGGACCAUAUCUCAUAAGGCUAAAUACUCUUACUAACCGAUAGCGCAUAGUACCGUGAGGGAAAGGUGAAAAGAACCCCUGGAGGGGAGUGAAAUAGAACCUGAAAUUGUGUGCUUACAAGCGGUCAGAGCCAGUAAUGGUGAUGGCGUGCCUUUUGGAGAAUGAUCCUGCGAGUUACGUUAAACGGCGAGGUUAAGUAUUACGGAGCCGAAGGGAAACCAAGUCUUAAUAGGGCGAUUUAGUCGUUUGGCGUAGACGCGAAACCUGGUGAUCUAAACCUGUCCAGGAUGAAGCUGUGGUAAGACACAGUGGAGGUCCUAACCCACCGCCGUUGAAAAGUUGGGGGAUGAGGUAGGUUUAGGGGUGAAAAGCCAAUCGAACCAGGAGAUAGCUCGUUCUCUCCGAAAUGCAUCUAGGUGCAGCCUUGAGUGUUCAAUUAUGGGGGUAGAGCACUGAAUGAUCUAGGGGGCAUAUUGCUUACUGAAAUCAAUCAAACUCCGAAUACCAUAAUUUAUAGCUCAGGAGUGAGACUAUGGGAGUUAACUUCCAUUGUCAAAAGGGAAACAACCCAGACCACCAGCUAAGGUCCCUAAUUAUAACUAAGUGGGAAAGGAGGUGGAGAUUCACAAACAACUAGGAGGUUGGCUUAGAAGCAGCCAUACCUUUAAAGAGUGCGUAAUAGCUCACUAGUCGAGAGUCUCUGCGCCGACAAUGUAACGGGGCUAAGUUAUAAACCGAAGCUGUGGAAUCCGUAAGGAUUGGUAGGAGAGCGUUCUGUAGGCCGUUGAAGGAGAAGGGUAACCGACUUUGGAGGUAUCAGAAGUGAGAAUGCAGGAAUAAGUAGCGAGAAAGGGGGCGAGAAUCCCCCUCGCCGGAAGACCAAGGUUUUCAGGGUAAAGCUUGUCUUCCCUGAGUAAGCCGGGACCUAAGCCCAGGCUAUAAUGCGUAGGCGAAUGGAAAACAGAUUAAUAUUUCUGUGCCAGUCAUAUAUUGUGAUGGAGGGACGCAGAAGGGUAUGCGCGCGGACGAACGGAAGUGUCCGUAGAAGUAUGUAGGAUGACUUAGUAGGAAAAUCCAUUAAGUUAUAUCUGAGGUAUGAUAUAUAGUCGUAAGAUGAAUGCGCAAAUCCCACGCUGCCAAGAAAAGCUUCUAACGUUAAUUUAUGACUGCCCGUACUGCAAACCGACACAGGUGGUCAGGAUGAGAAAUCUAAGGCGGACAGGCUAACUCUCGUUAAGGAACUCUGCAAAAUAACCUCGUAACUUCGGGAGAAGAGGAGCCCUUGGGUGUUAGUAUCCAUGCGAUACAAAGCGCUCGAGGGUCGCAGUGAAGAGGCUCAAGCAACUGUUUAACAAAAACACAGGUCUAUGCUAAGCUGGAAGGCGAUGUAUAUGGGCUGACACCUGCCCAGUGCUGGAAGGUUAAGAGGAGGAGUGAGAGCUCCGAAUUGAAGCCCCAGUGAACGGCGGCCGUAACUAUAACGGUCCUAAGGUAGCGAAAUUCCUUGUCGGGUAAGUUCCGACCUGCACGAAUGGUGUAAUGAUUUGAGCGCUGUCUUGACGGGAGGCCUGGUGAAAUUGUAUUACCGGUGAAGAUACCGGUUACCUACAGUAGGACGGAAAGACCCCAUGGAGCUUUACUGUAGCUUGGUAUUGGGUUUUGGCAUUGCAUGUAUAGGAUAGUUGGGAGACUGAGAUGAUAUGGCGCUAGCUGUAUCGGAGUCAUCGGUGGAAUACCAACCAUUCAAUGCUGAAAUUCUAAUCUGUGGUUUGUAGCCACGGAGACAGUGCUAGGUGGGCAGUUUGACUGGGGCGGUCGCCUCCGAAAGAGUAACGGAGGCGUUCAAAGGUUCUCUCAGGUUGGAUGGAAAUCAACCAUAGAGUGCAAUGGCAUAAGAGAGCUUGACUGCAAGACUGACGGGUCGAGCAGAUGCGAAAGCAGGACAUAGUGAUCCGGCGAUUCCGAAUGGAAGGGUCGUCGCUCAACGGAUAAAAGCUACCCUGGGGAUAACAGGCUGAUCCUACCCGAGAGUCCAUAUCGACGGUAGGGUUUGGCACCUCGAUGUCGGCUCAUCGCAUCCUGGGGCUGGAGAAGGUCCCAAGGGUUGGGCUGUUCGCCCAUUAAAGCGGUACGUGAGCUGGGUUCAGAACGUCGUGAGACAGUUCGGUCCCUAUCCACUGUAGGCGUUAGAAUAUUGAGAAGACCUGUCCUUAGUACGAGAGGACCGGGAUGGACAAACCUCUGAUGUACCAGUUGUCACGCCAGUGGCACAGCUGGGUAGUCACGUUUGGAAUAGAUAACCGCUGAAAGCAUCUAAGCGGGAAACUAACUUCAAGAUAAGUAUUCUUUAAGAUACCUUCGAGCCUAGGAGGUUGAUAGGUUGGGGGUGUAAGUACAGCAAUGUAUUUAGCUGACCAAUACUAAUUAUCGAAGUUUUAAUCUAAUUUGUUUUUACUAUAUAGUUUC
rnacentral:rRNA from 1 species